rnacentral:rRNA from 1 species
UAGGGAAUCUUCCGCAAUGGACGCAAGUCUGACGGAGCAACGCCGCGUGAGUGAAGAAGGAUUUCGGUUCGUAAAACUCUGUUGUUAGAGAAGAACAGCGCAUAGAGUAACUGUUAUGCGUGUGACGGUAUCUAACCAGAAAGCCACGGCUAACUACGUGCCAGCAGCCGCGGUAAUACGUAGGUGGCAAGCGUUGUCCGGAUUUAUUGGGCGUAAAGCGAGCGCAGGCGGUCAAUUAAGUCUGAUGUGAAAGCCCCCGGCUCAACCGGGGAGGGUCAUUGGAAACUGGUUGACUUGAGUGCAGAAGAGAAGAGUGGAAUUCCAUGUGUAGCGGUGAAAUGCGUAGAUAUAUGGAGGAACACCAGUGGCGAAGGCGACUCUCUGGUCUGUAACUGACGCUGAGGCUCGAAAGCGUGGGUAGCAAACAGG